UCCCCAUCCCCGAUUCCUACCUGCCGCCCCCGACUACCCCAGAGGACCGAGCACCCACCCGGGCACCCACCUCGACGGCGCCCCCAAUCCCCGCCCCCAGCCCUCACCGCCGCCCGGCUGCUGGUCCCCGCCCCGAUCCGCGUCGACUCCAGGCUAGGCCACCACCGCCCGGCGCCACGGAGCGCGUCAGGCGGCCAGCCCCCUCCCCGCGCCGGCGCGCGCACGGCCCACGACCGUCCCUGCGGCCUCCGCCUCCCGCCUCUCCCCUUCCACGGAGGCCGGCGCUGAUGCAUCCCCGGUGCCACCAACGACGCCCGUAGGGGCUCCGUGCUUCCGCGGGGCUAGUGGCACACCCAAUUUUAGUCUUCGCCCACGCCCAGGCCUCAUCCAGAUGCUCUGCACGGCUUCUCAAGCAUGAUGCUUCUCCAGCUCGACGCAUAGCCACCCCGCCCCGCCAGCCUGAUGCACGGCCGCCCGCACUGCCGGGCACCUUCCUCGACGGGCCGCCCGCGCCCCGAGUCGGGGACACAUGGCCGCCCCGCUGCUGUUCACCUUCCCCGACUGAGCAGGCUGCCACCGCCAGCACCAGCUCAGGGAGUUGAAAUAGCAAAAGGCUUCACAUUUUUGCUCUCUGCUGUGGGAGAUUCAAGCUACACAGCCAGCCCUUGUGAAACAUGCUCAAGUUGAGGUGUUCUGUUUCUAAAUCUGAAUAGUCUGAUAAGGUGUUCUGUUUCUAAAUAUGAAUAGUUUGGUACGGUGUUCUGUGUGGAACCUGAGUCCAGUGACAAUGAAUCUGUUUCUAAAUGUGACGUUGUUCUUGAAAUCUCUUCUAUGUCUUGAAAAGUGUGUCUAUGUCUGGUAUUUAAUAUUAUAAAGUGUGCAUAUGUUAAUUUAGAAAUCAUCUCUUGCUAUUUUUGUCUGUGCUAUUUAGAAUAGGAUCCAAUUCAGUUCAAUUUAUGGCCACUCUUCGAUUCUAAAUUAUGAAAGAUCAUCUUCUCACUACAAGAAAGAUGUUUGAGGCUGUCAACAUGUUUUGUAAGAGAGUUGUGUCCUUUCACAGUAGUUUUUUUUUCUUUAGUUGAUGAUUGUAUCUUAAUUUUGUCAAUGAUGAUGGCCUUCAAUAAUUUAACAACUUGAUGUUUUUAUAGUUCUCAUUUUUGCUCUUUUCAGGUAAUCUUUGGAUGAAAGCUCUGCAUAAUUCUAGAUUGCUACUUUCAAAACAAGUAGACUGUGGAGGAUUCCCAAUGAAGUAAAAAAGCAAUAUUUUGGCCCCGUGGCUUCCUACAUUUACGUGACUUCCUAUAUUUAUGUGCCCAUGUUUCUAUGUCUAGCAAACUAGGAUAUGUAUUUGUGCUAUAUGUGAAUAUUAUCAGUGACAACUUGUGAAUAUUUUGAUCUGGUAUUUUAAAAUGAUACGGGCUUCAUGGUCCGUUAUUUGUGCUAUAUGUGAUGAUUUGUGCUA